rfam:Candidatus Kinetoplastibacterium desouzaii TCC079E, complete genome.
GGCCCGGUAGCUCAGUCGGUAGAGCAGAGGACUGAAAAUCCUUGUGUCGGUGGUUCGAUUCCGCCCCAGGCCA